UCACGUACCAGAAUCUAAUUGAGCAGUGAUGCAUGUUGCUAUUGUACUGCAAGGGCAGAACACAAAAAAUCACAUCGGCUUUGCCUUACCCACCUUUCAAACGGCUCGUUUUGAUGUAGGUCGAGACUCGAGUCAGCUUCCAUCUCAAAAAUUGUCUUCUGGAGAAGCUAGUGAUGGAGGGGGAACAUGGCGUCUGCCUAGUGCAACCUGAAUCAUUUGUCCAAAGACAUCAAGCUGAAGGCGUAUUUUGUGUAUGACCUACCAGAGAAUCCUAAAAUGAUCGUACGACCGAUGAUCUCUUCAUGAAUAUUCAAGCUUCUUGUCUAAUUGUCGUCUACAACUUGUUUGAGCAAGCUAUCACAAUAAAAGCUAACUCACCUUUUUCGUUACUGGUACUGUAUGUUUACCACUUUGGUGGAUUCUAGGGCUUGAGUAACCAUUGGGGCAAAACCAAUGCACUCAAUGGCAUAAUCCACACCAAGUCCACAAGUGAGGUCCUUCACCAAUUGAGAAGAAGGCUUAUCAGAAUGAUCAUUAGGAUUUAUGAAGUCUGUUAUCCCAAAAGCUUCUCCUUUUUCUUUCUUCUUCUCAUUUAUGUCAAUCCCAAUUAUCUUAGUCGCUCCCAUCAUCUUGGCACCACAUAUAGCCUGCAUCACAAGUAAUUUAAUUACCCAUUAAACAACAAGCUUUGUCAUGAUAAACUAUACUUAUGAAAACUAGAAAAGAAGUGCCUUUUUGUUUAUUUUUUAUUUUUUUGUUUUGGUAGAAGUAUAGCUUACCUCACUUAGUGAGAUAAGACUUGUUAUUGUCGUUUUGGUAAAAGCACUUACCCCUAAUCCAACAGCUCCCAGGCCAAAAACGGCCAUGGUUGAUCCACUUUGAAUUUGGGCUGUCUUCCAAGCAGCCCCAAAACCAGUAGAAAAUCCACAAGAGAUGAAGGUAGCAUGAGCCAAAUCAAUACUUGGAUCAACUUUCACAAGGCAUUAGCCCACUCACUGUGAAAGGAUAUCUCAUGCACAUGUUUGAUUCCUCUGAGAUACAGGUCUCACAUUCUUGACACUCUCCAAUGUAUGUUGGAAUCACUAAAUCUCCUACUUUCAGUGUGCGAGUGUUGUGAGGUUCAAUUCAAGUGGAUGAGAAUUAAAGAGUCUCACACAAGGAAAACCUCGAGCUCUCAAGAUGUCUGUGUGGCAAACACUAGCACAAAGAACCUUAACUCGAGCUUCAGAAGCUUUAGAUGGCUCUACUUUCGCGUUUGAAAGCAAGUUUGUAGCUGACUCCCUCAAUUUGUUAGAGAUGCGAGAAUCUCGAAUUGAAAUUGAACUCGACUUCGAGACAAGGAUAACUAAUACUAGUUUUGCUGCAUUCUCUCCUUUUGCAGUUCUGAAGGUAAUGAAAAUCUAUUACUGUAAAUCGUUUUACAUCUGCAUGUUAUCACUUGUUAUUGAUAGAAAAGGCUCACGCCAACACACACGACAAUUAGUUAAUCUAGAAAAUUAUAGAAAAAGGUUUCAGAAAUUACAGAAAAAAUAUAUAAAAUUACAAAUAAAUGUCCUAUAAAAAAAUUAAUAUUGAUUAAGUCAUUAAUAUUGUGUGAUAAUUUAUAAGUUUUCUUCCAAAAUUAAUAAGUUGUCCUUAAAAAAUUUUCAACUAGUAUAAAAAGCAUGUUUAUUUUGUAAAUAUCAUAUACACUAGUUAAGUUAUAAAUUUUUAGAUAAUGUGUGUGAAUAUCAAAAGUUAAUUUAUAAAUUGUGUGUGAAGAUUUGUAAAUAAUAGUAGUAAUAAUAAUAAUUUAAAUAUAUUAAAUUGUCAAUAUUUUAAUAUGAUAUUAUUAAAACAAAUAUAAUAUUUUUUAAUAAUUUACUAGUGUUGUUAUACCAAUAAUUGUGAUCCAUUAAUUACCUAAUAGCUAGUUAAACUAGUUGAUCAAAAUUGUCCUUUGGUCUUGUACUUGGAUAACAAAUAACAAGUGUACAUGUCCAGGUAUUUAUAUAUAAUUUAAGGGAUUUAAUUUAUAUUAAUUUUUUAUAAGAUAUUUGUGUGUAAUUUUUUGGGUCUUAUUUUAUAAAGUGAGAUUUUUUUUUUUACAAUUUUGGAAUCAACUAAUUAAAGUUAACUUUUUAACGGCAAAAUAUUUAAUGUAUCAUUUUUGAAUGUUGAAGGAAAAAAUUGCAUCACAUAAGUUAAGAAAAUCAUAUGCUUUUGAGCGAGCAAUUGAGAGGCAAAAACGAUACUCGAUGUAUAAUCACAGAAAUUUUAAAGAACAAAGCAAGAAAUAAAAAUAAUAAUGAGAUGUGUUUCUUUAAUUUCUGAGAGUCAAAUGAAAAUGAACAUCAUAUCUUGAUGAUAACUUUGAUACAAUCUGGUCGUUUCAAUAGCUCAAAUGCUUUGCCUACCUCUGUUAAAGGGACUCAUGGUUUUCAAGUCCAUCAAGAGGGAAAUCCUGUAAACAGGAGGAAAACAAUUAAUUAUUAUACUCUAUAAUUAUUUCUAAUCAGGUCAUUUAUUUACAAUAAGAUUUUUUUUUUUGUUGCGCAUUUUUGAAGAGUUUCUGGCAAUGAUCUAGAUUGAAUAUGCACGUGGACCUCGAAUCAAGAUUUCGUAUUUGUACCUAAGAUGUGUAUUAUUAGCAAACUUUAUUUAGACCCUCCAAAUUUAAGUUGUACCUAUUAUAUUUUUAAUAUUUAUAAUUAAUUUUUAA